GACGAACGCUGGCGGCGUGCUUAACACAUGCAAGUCGAGCGGUAAGGCCCUUUCGGGGGUACGACGAGCGGCGAACGGGUGAGUAACACGUGGGUGACCUGCCCUUAGCUCUGGGAUAAGCCUGGGAAACUGGGUCUAAUACCGGAUAUGACUCCAUGGCGCAUGUUGUGGGGUGGAAAGCCUUGUGCGGCUAGGGAUGGGCCCGCGGCCUAUCAGCUUGUUGGUGGGGUGAUGGCCUACCAAGGCGACGACGGGUAGCCGGCCUGAGAGGGCGACCGGCCACACUGGGGACUGAGACACGGCCCAGACUCCUACGGGAGGCAGCAGUGGGGAAUCUUGCGCAAUGGGCGAAAGCCUGACGCAGCGACGCCGCGUGGGGAUGACGGCCU
rnacentral:rRNA from 1 species